GUGAGCAUAUGUUCAUAUGUUCAUGCAGUUACUUCUCACAAUAAUUUCCAACAAAAUGGAUCCAAGUCUUAUUACUGUUAUCUUUCAUUGGAAUGGAAGGAUCAGUCGUGAUGCUAACGGGGUAUAUUAUGAUAGUGGAAGGAUUCAGAUGACCAUGGUAGACUGUAAUACAAUAUACCAAGAACCUAUGUGAGUCUGCUAUGCUGUCACCGGAUGAAACCUUAAUCAUUGUGAAG
rnacentral:lncRNA from 1 species